rnacentral:snoRNA from 1 species
CUCCUCCAGUGUCCUUUCCCGUCAGCUCUAACCCUGGUCUGAGCGGUUAUAAAAGGAGAAAAGUAAAAUUGACCUUGGCAGAGUGCUUGGUGGCCCAUGAGCUAGGAUCAGACAAGU